rnacentral:lncRNA from 10 species
CUUGGAAAAAGGCUGCCAUUCUUUAGCCAGGAGAUGCAACCUGCUCACUGAGUCCAGGCUGCAGCCUCCAGGCCACAAUGGAAGGAAAGACAGGUCUCCGGUGGGUUGACGACACCUCAGGCUGUCCCUGCAGGUGCGCCGGCAUCAGGCAGGGAACAGGACCGCCCUUGCCUGUUUUGGACGCUUUGGUUUUCCGCCGUGACGCGGCCCUGUGAGGAGAAGUAACUCUCUAAAGUUACAUGAAGCCUGCAGCAAAGUCCUCAGCUGCCACCCGUCCCGGCGUCUGCAGCUCUGCAGGGCUGGCUGUCAGGCCUGCUGCUGGGAUCAUCUGGGAGCUUUGAGGAUCUCCAGAGGUCUGGCUCCCCCAAGGAUUUUGGUGUGACUGGGGAGUCAGUGCGGCCAUCAGCUUUCUCGGUGCCGCCCACGUGAUUCUCCUGUGAGCCAGGGUUGAAGACUUCUGCAGCAAAGCGGCACAUUUGGAGCCAACACAGUCAGGUCCCGGCCGCCAUUCUGCAGAGACUCCUGAGUCCGUGAAGUGGAUCCAGGGCCUCCAACCGCCCCAGCUGAUCUGCCAGGAAAGGGGUCCCUGCUGCCCGGGGGCUGCCUCGGCUGGCGCCACGUGGAGAUGAACAGGAGACAACUCACUGGAGCCCGUGGCACAGCCUGAGGGAGACAACUCACGGGAGCCCGUGGCACAGCCUGAGGGAGACAACUCACUGGAGCCCGUGGCACAGCCUGAGGGAGACAACUCACGGGAGCCCGUGGCACAGCCUGAGGGGUCUCUGGGUUGCCCACAGCUUCCCCAGGAGCUCACACAGGUCAGGCCAAGGGGAAGGGAGCCCAGUGCACACCCCCAGGCUCUGCGGUCCGAAUGCUUGUGUUCCCAAAAAUUCACAUGGAAUCCUCACCUCCCAGAGUGCUCCCCAGCCCCUUCCACCAUGGGAGGACGCGGCACAGGGUGCCGUUACCACCUGGGAAGCACAGCCUCACCAGACGCGGAAACUGCUGGAGCAGAGACCUUGGCUUCCAGCCUCCAGCGCCAAGAGGAGCGGAUUCCUGUCGUGGGCCAGCGUGUUCUGCGUGGUGGCCGGGAUGGACCGAGACUGGGUAGAUGCCAUCCUGACUGCUGACGUUUGGGACGUGAGACAUCUGGGGGCAUGGGGCAGCCCGCUGCGGCCAGGUGGGGUCAUGGGGCAGCCCACUGGGGUCAGGUGGAGGUCACGGGGCAGCCCGCUGGGGUCAGGUGGGGUCACGGGGCAGCCCGUUGGGGUCAGGUGGGUGUCACGGGGCAGCCCGCUGGGGUCAGGUGGUUCACGGGGCAGCUGGGCUCAGGUGGGGUGGGUGGGAUAUUCAGCCGCUUCCGAUUAUUUUCAGUAAAUUACUUCCAGGCCACACAUAUCUCAUUUCUCUUCUGAAAAACCCGUCUCAAAAACUCCCUUUCUCUUGAUAUUUCUCUGGCCAAGUCUACCCUGCAACACGCUGGUAAAAUGUAAAAUUCCUUCGCACGAGAGUGAAGAGGAUGAUCCCCAGGUGCGUCUCUCCAUUCCCGGGUCCUAACGAUUCCUCCUUAAGCCGGCUACCUGCGCGGGGGCCACGCUCUCCCACUGGGAGGAUGGUUUCUGGGACAUGCGGCGUCUCCUCCUUGUGCCUGUGCGUCUGAGAGAACUGGGGCGUCUCCUUGAACUGGGACGUCUCCUCCUCGUGCCUGUGUGGUCUGAGAGAACUGGGGCGUCUCCUCCAACUGGGGCGUCUCCUCCUCGUGCCUGUGCGUCUGAGAGAACUGCGGGGUCUCCUCCUCGUGCCUGUGUGGUCUGAGAGAACUGCGGGGUCUCCUCCUCGUGCCUGUGCGGUCUGAGAGAACUGCGGUGGCCCCUUGUGGGCCUCUUGGUUCUGGGGACAGAGGACACUUUUCACUCAGCCCGGGGACCUUUGGUUCUUUCUGUGAAGAUGGCGCCCAUGAGAUGACGCCUUGUGACUCAGGUACCUCAGCCCUGCGCCUCCGUCUCUGCGUCUCUGUAUUGGGUUGGUGGCGUCCACACUGUCUGCGUCGUUGCUGAGCAUCCCAGGUCCCCACUCAGCCCGGCCUCGUGUUUUCUCUUGUCCUCCUGACUGGAGUUCCAGUUCUUACCUUGCAGAUGGUGCGCUUGUCACCCUCUGCCGUCUCCACAGCAUCUGGGCCGGGUCCCCCCAGG